UGCGUAGGCUGCGCUGUAAGUCGGGUGUGAAAUCCCUCAGCUUAACUGAGGAAUUGCGCCCGAUACUGCAGUGCUUGAGGGAGAUAGGGGUCAGCGGAACUGAUGGUGGAGCGGUGAAAUGUGUUGAUAUCAUCAGGAACACCGGUGGCGAAAGCGGCUGACUGGAUCUCUUCUGACGCUGAGGCACGAAAGCUAGGGUAGCGAACG
rnacentral:rRNA from 1 species